AGUUAUUUCAUGACUGAUAUAGAAAUAUUCCAUACCUGAGGGCCAAUUCGGGGUUUGUUUUGAAUCAUAUACAAUCCCGUAAUUGUCUCCAUCUGUUGAAAGUAACUGUAAUUGUUG